UACGUAGGUGACCAGCGUUGUCCGGAUUUACUGGGCGUAAAGAGCGCGCAGGCGGUCGUUCAAGUCGAGUGUGAAAGCCCCCCGGCUCAACUGGGGAGGGUCACUCGAUACUGAUCGACUUGAAGGCAGGAGAGGGAAGCGGAAUUCCCGGUGUAGUGGUGAAAUGCGUAGAUAUCGGGAGGAACACCAGUGGCGAAGGCGGCUUCCUGGCCUGUUCUUGACGCUGAGGCGCGAAAGCUAGGGGAGCAAACGGGG
rnacentral:rRNA from 1 species